GUCGUUCCUGUUGAGAUGUCCUGAUGCAGUAAGAUGUACAAGUGCAUCAUCUCCAGAAUCAAUAGCCUGAUGGACGAGGAGAGGAAGAAAAGCAAAGCCACCACCCAGCUCUUCAACCUCCUGCCUUGCGCUGUCAAUCCGGGAGAAGAAUCCCUUGGCCUGGUAUAGAAAUUUGUGCUAGGAAGAGAUGAAUUUCACUGUUAUUCCUCUGACAGUAGUGAUGAUGGCCUACGCCUAUUCAAUGAGCCUGUUCUCCUCCUGGAACUUCUCCACACUUCAAGUGUCUGAACUUUGCUGCCAACUGAUUUCCUUAAGAAAGCUCAUGCCUGCCUCCUGUCUUUCCUCAAAGGAGAAUUUACUACCAAGUCAUUGAGAACACAGGUAUCAACUCUGUUGCAAAAGUAGUUGAGCUAGAAAGCUGAUGGCAUGAACACACUCCAGCAUCUGUAGUUAUUAGCAAAGUAAGGAGCUCCAUAGCUACCAGUCAUGUCAGACAACACUAUUUCCUUUGCUUGAAUGGCCAGGUCUUCAGAUAUGUCUGGGUCAGCUGAGGACAAUGUUUUGACAGGUUGCUGAAAAAGAUUUGAUCUUGCCAUAUAGUCAAUCAUGACCCACUCAGUGGGAGAAAUUUUAUAAUUUGUUAAGCACAUAAGUGCAUUCACAGCAAAGUCUUUCCAUUAAUAAUCAGAC
ensembl:lncRNA